AAGUUCUUUCAGCUGGGAAACAUGAAACACGGGGUGAAUAAGAGAUGUUUCAGGUAGCUCUAAUUUGUAAGCCACUUUCCCGCACUUGUCCAGAAUUUUGUAAGGCCCAAAGUAUUUUGGUGCGAGCUUCUGAUUACCCCGUAUCACUAGUGACUUCUGUCGAUACGGUUGCAGCUUCACAAAGACAUAAUCACCAAUGUCAAAACUUCUAUCCGUACGAUGAAGGUCUUAGCCACAACUGCAACUUUAGAUUCACUGGGUAAGUAAGGCAAAUGCACAGGGGGAGGUUGUCCAUACACAGCUUCAAAAUGAGUAAGAUGAGUCGAUGUAUGAAAGUUUGUGUUAUACCAAUACUCAGCUAAAGGGACCCAUUUAGACCAUAGAUGAGGACGAUCACUGCACAUACAUCUCAGAUAAGUUUCAAGACAUCUGUUUGCAACCUCGGUUGACCAUCACUCUGGGGAUGAUAUGCUGAAGAUAAGUUAAGACUACCUCCUUGCAAGGUAAAUAACUCUUUCCAAAACUCACUCAAGAAGAUGACAUACCAUGGAUUUUACCCAUUAUUAGCCAUGGUAUAUAUGUGUUUUAAGAUAUAUUUACUACAAUAUAGAGUCUAUUUAGAGUGUUUACAGGUUAAGGGACGAUUUGGAGGAAAGUGGUCAUUUUGGUGUCUUUUGGAGCCUUUUGAGUGCAAAACUGCACAGACGCAUGAGAUGUCUAGCUAUAGAUGGAGACUUUCCCAUUGUUAGAUUGAGCCCAUAUUUUACAGACGGUAGAGCUUUGAGUUAGAUUUCCAAUGCCACUGGUUUGAGUUAAUCAACAUCCUAUAACAUAAGUUAUGUCCAUUUUACUAAAGAGUGGUCAAUCUGCCUAGCGAGAGAAAGCUGUCGAGGAGAUGAAGCACUGUCGAUCGACGGUGCACAAUUGGUGUCGAUCAACGGUGAUGCCUGAAUACGGGCUGGACAUAUUUUAUGACCGACUGAAGCCGAGAAGCAACCACAAAUUACCAGAAUACCGUUUUACGACCUAAAACCCUAUUUAUUUGUUUUCUAAGCCAUUGUUGACGGCUAAGCUUUAUUUUAUUCAUAGUUCUAUGUUAGGAGAGAAUAACUACUUCAUUGUCCUCUUGGAACUCCAUUGGUGAUAUCGAUUUAUAUUUUCUCAAA